GGUGGUUCUCGGUCGAUGCACCCCGGAAUUAGGCUCCCUCCUCUCUGGUUCCGGGCGCGUCACCACA
rfam:Myotis brandtii contig237924, whole genome shotgun sequence.